UUUGCGAAUAUACGAUAUUCGUGAUUAAAAUUCGAAUUGCGAAUAUUCACGAGCAACACUAUUCUUUUUAUGAACCAUAAUAGUACACAAUCCUUACACACAUCACCUUACAGAUUCACCGGAGUUUUCUGCAAGUGUUAGCCAUUGUCAUGACCAUCCACACGAUUGGGGAUCUGACCAGGAAACAGCUUUCUGCGAGUGUCACUUAAAAGGGUCUCAUGCAAUCUUCGGCACAUCGCCUUUCUCCUACCUCUGAGUACUCCAACCCUCACCUUCCAAGAAAUACUGGUCUCAGGAGUGAUGGCCCACUCCACCAGUCACUGGCUGCAGCAAUAUCCCACCUCAGCAGGUGACAUGACUCCCGAGAUAUUCAAAAAGAGAUUAAAGUAUUGGAUGAAGAUUUUGUAAAACUAGAAAAAUCGGAGGAGGUGGAAAAAGUUAAUAUGGAAUUACAAGACAUGAAUUCUCGCGAGAUCGAGGUCUAUUUAAUGUGGUGGUGGGUUGUUCACGUCAGGCUUGAGAAAGAGAGUGAUCCUGAAACGUCGCCAAUCAAGUUCACCGGCUGGUGAGCUCUCUACGCUGAUUAUAGAAGAAGCUGGUUUUACAGCACUAUUGGACAUGUUCGCACUGAGCUCCGGCUGGAGCCGAAGUAGUACGUUGUAAACCUGUGAUCACGUAUUGGCGAGUAUGCACUGGGUGAUUUUGCAAUAUGUUCAAGUACACUAUUCCUGUAUGAAAAGUAUUCUUAUAUGAAGA